rnacentral:rRNA from 1 species
GAUGAACGCUAGCUACAGGCUUAACACAUGCAAGUCGAGGGGCAGCAUGAAGUUUGCUUGCAAACUUUGAUGGCGACCGGCGGAUGGGUGAGUAACGCGUACCCAACCUGCCCCCUUCCCGGGCACAGCCCUUGGAAACGAGGAUUAACGCCCGAUGGCGUCUGGAUGCCGCAUGGCAUUCCGACCAAAUGCGAAGGAAGGGGAUGGGGUGCGUCCCAUUAGCUAGUUGGCGGGGGUAACGGGCCCACCCAAGGCGACGAUGGUAGGGGUUCGUGAGAGGAAGGUCCCCCACCACUGGUACUGAGACAGGGACCAGAUCCUACGGAGGCAGCAGUGAGGAAUAUUGGUCAAUAGGACGGCAAGUACUGAACCAAGCCAACGUA